rnacentral:rRNA from 1 species
UGGGGAAUAUUGGACAAUGGGCGCAAGCCUGAUCCAGCCAUGCCGCGUGAGUGAUGAAGGCCCUAGGGUUGUAAAGCUCUUUCACCGGUGAAGAUAAUGACGGUAACCGGAGAAGAAGCCCCGGCUAACUUCGUGCCAGCAGCCGCGGUAAUACGAAGGGGGCUAGCGUUGUUCGGAUUUACUGGGCGUAAAGCGCACGUAGACGGACUUUUAAGUCAGGGGUGAAAUCCCGGGGCUCAACCCCGGAACUGCCUUUGAUACUGGAAGUCUUGAGUAUGGUAGAGGUGAGUGGAAUUCCGAGUGUAGAAGUGAAAUUCGUAGAUAUUCGGAGGAACACCAGUGGCGAAGGCGGCUCACUGGACCAUUACUGACGCUGAGGUGCGAAAGCGUGGGGAGCAAACAGG